AGAUUACUGCCGGACUCGCAUUACAACUGUUGUUAAAUUAUACACGGUCGUUUGAUUUUCGAUUCACGUACGACGACGACAGCGACUGCGACACUCGCGGCCGCAGCGAGAGAAUGGACGGCCGGAGGGUGGGGAGGAAACGUUUUUAGAAGAAAAAAAAAAAGGCAGCAGGAUCAUUAAGGAUUGUUAAAAUCGUACAUCGUUUGUU